AGAGUUUGAUCCUGGCUCAGGAUUAACGCUGGCGGCAUGCCUAAUACAUGCAAGUCGAACGAAAAAUAUAUAGAUGCUUGCAUUUAGAUAUUUUUAGUGGCGAACGGGUGAGUAAUAUAUAGAUAACCUACCUUUAAGUUGGGGAUAACAGAGGGAAACUUUUGCUAAUACCGAAUAAAAUAAUUAGACGCAUGUUUAAUUAUUAAAAGGGGCUUCAAAGCCCCGCUCUAAGAGGGGUCUAUAUCGCAUUAGCUAGUUGGUAAGAUAACAGCCUACCAAGGCUAUGAUGCGUAGCUGUACUGAGAGGUAGAACAGCCACAUUGGGACUGAGAUACGGCCCAAACUCCUACGGGAGGCAGCAGUAGGGAAUUUUCGGCAAUGGGGGGAACCCUGACCGAGCAAUGCCGCGUGAUUGAAGAAGAUCUUCGGAUCGUAAAGAUCUGUUAUUAGGGAAGAAUGGAAUUGAUAGGAAAUAAUCAAUUUAUGACGGUGCCUAAUGAGGAAGCCCCGGCUAACUAUGUGCCAGCAGCCGCGGUAAUACAUAGGGGGCGAGCGUUAUCCGGAAUUAUUGGGCGUAAAGGGUACAUAGGCGGGCCUGCAAGUCUGAUUUGAAAGCACACGGCUUAACCGUGUGAGGUAAUUAGAAACUACAGGUCUAGAGAGUGGUAGAGGUAAAUGGGAUUCCAAGUGGAGCGGUGAAAUGCGUAGAGAUUUGGAGGAACACCAGUGGCGAAGGCGGUUUACUGGGCCACAUCUGACGCUGAUGUACGAAAGCGUGGGGAGCAAACAGGAUUAGAUACCCUGGUAGUCCACGCCGUAAACGAUGAGUGCUAAGUAUCGGAGGAUUCGGUGCUUAAGCUAACGCAGUAAGCACUCCGCCUGGGGAGUACGGUCGCAAGACUGAAACUCAAAGGAAUUGACGGGGACUCGCACAAGCGGUGGAGCAUGCGGUUUAAUUCGAUGCAACGCGAAGAACCUUACCAGGUCUUGACAGUGUAAAGAAUACUUAAGAGAUUAAGGGCUAAGAAUUAAGCUUGCUUAUUUCACUUUAUAAACAGGUGGUGCAUGGUUGUCGUCAGCUCGUGUCGUGAGAUGUUGGGUUAAGUCCCGCAACGAGCGCAACCCUUAUUGCUAGUUGCCAUCAUUAAGUUGGGCACUCUAGCAAGACUGCCGGUGACAAAUCGGAUGAAGGUGGGGAUGACGUCAAAUCAUCAUGCCCCUUAUGACCUGGGCUACACGCGUGCUACAAUGGCUAAUACAAAGAGUUGCAAAACCGUGAGGUAGAGCUAAUCUCAUAAAGUUAGUCUCAGUUCGGAUUGUAGUCUGCAACUCGACUACAUGAAGUUGGAAUCGCUAGUAAUCGUAAAUCAGAAUGUUACGGUGAAUACGUUCUCGCCUCUUGCACACACCGCCCGUCA
rnacentral:rRNA from 1 species